rnacentral:rRNA from 1 species
AGAGAGAGACAUGCGCGCAUAUCAAUAAGCGGAGGAAAAGAAACUAACAAGGAUUCCCUUAGUAACGGCGAGUGAAGCGGGAAGAGCUCAAAUUUGAAAUCUUCAAGGUUUUACCUUGACGAAUUGUAGUUUAAAGAAGUGUUUUCUGUUGAAGUUUUGGUAAAAGUUCUUUGGAAUAGGACAUCAUAGAGGGUGAGAAUCCCGUAUUUGACCAUUAUUUUCAGCUUUGUGAUACACUUUCAAAGAGUCGGAUUGUUUGGGAAUGCAGUCCAAAAUGGGUGGUAAAUUUCAUCUAAAGCUAAAUAUUGGCGAGAGACCGAUAGCGAACAAGUACCGUGAGGGAAAGAUGAAAAGAACUUUGAAAAGAGAGUUAAACAGUACGUGAAAUUGUCAAAAGGGAAGCGUUUGACACCAGUGUUGUUUUCUCGAAAAUCAAUUAAAAAUGGCUCGAUUCUGUAUUGCUUGAGACCUUAAAAGCUCACUGUACAUUUUUCGUGUCUUUUUUAAUGCACUUUUCGUUUAACAAGUCAACAUCAGUUUCUUUUGUUGUAAAAGGGUCAUUGGAAGGUGGCUUUCUUUUCGGAGAAAGUGUUUAUAGCCUUUGGCCUCUGCAAUCGAAGAGACUGAGGUCUGCAGCGUAGACUCUUCGGGGUUAGAUACAUUUGUGCUAAGUUAUAGCUUUUUAUAGACAACUUGUUGACUAUAAUUAGUCUUGUAGCUUACUCGCUUAUGCUAUUUUACCUACGCUUAGGAUGUUGAGUCGUAGAGCACGCAG